GCGCGAUUUCUGGAAUUGAACUACAUAACUGGAAUCGUGACCCAGGGUAGAGCAUUUUACUAUGAUAUCCGUCAUCACCAACGAGUUACUUCAUACCAGAUUCACUUUUCAGAAGACUGUGUGAAUUUUGUAACACUCACAAAAACAAAUGGUGAAAACGAGACAUUUCCUGGCAAUACCGACCAAGAUUCGCAUGUGACAAACAUGCUUCCAAGUCCUAUCCGUGCUUUGUGCGUGCGCAUCCAACCCAUCACGUGGGUUCUGCACGUUACGUUACGCUUUGACGUGCUGGGUUGCUCUUGUGAAGGCGUUUUGUGCUCGGUUAAUUGGAUCAAAUGUAACUGCGUAAAUUGCAAUAAAUCAUGUAGCAGCAACUGCAUUAACACAGAGUGUGACAAAAAUACUGGCGAUUGUAUACGGGGCUGUGGCACUGAUCAUUUUGGUAACAAAUGUCAGUUUGCGUGUCCGAGGUACUGUAAACGCAGCGACGCUACCCAUAGUUGUUUCGCUGACGGAACGUGAAGAUCUGGAUGCACUGAAAAUCACUCCGGGCCAAUGUGCGACCAGAAAUGCUCACCAUACUGUGCAAAAUCCCCAAACGAAGACGUUUGCUCUAGGGAUGGCUCAUGUGUUAACGGAUGUGAUGCAGAUCGUUAUGGUUCGCAAUGUGAACAUAUUUGUCCCACGAACUGUGCAUCGGUGAACAAUGGCACAAGGUGUGAUGACCAAGGUGUUUGCGUUGACGGUUGUUUCGGGGACUUUUUCGGCAGACAGUGCAAUAACCCUUGUCCAACAAACUGUGCAGCAAGAGCAAAUGGUAGUAGGUGUGAUCAAAAAGGUGUUUGUAUCAACGGAUGCGUAAAUGACCAUUUUGGUACACAAUGUUCGAACCCUUGUCCAACAAACUGUGCACCAAGAGCUGGAGAAAGCCGAUGUUCAAACCCUGGCACAUGCACAUUGGGAUGCAUUACAGGAUAUACUGGUGAUAGAUGUGCAUCAUCGAUAGAGGGGUUUGUGUCUGAAGAGAGCGGGACUGGGUUUAAGUCUGGCAUGAUUGCAAGCUUGAUUGUGAAUGUUGUCGCCAUAGUUAUCAUCGUUGUGAUGAUUUGCUUACUCUGGAAGAAAAGACUGACCAGUAAAGAUAUUGUCAACAGAUCAAUCAGCGACCGAUCAGGGCCAUCAGCACUCAAUGAAUACAGCAUUGAGACCUGUUCUGUGUACAGUACCUUGGACAACCAGAGGGAGAAAGCCGAACCGUAUGCAUCUAUUAAUUUUGGACAUGCUUAGUCAAAAACAUAGAAUGGAUUAUAGAAUUGCGUAACAUUGUUUAGUGUUUGUGUUAUGUUCAUAUAUUUUAUAUUAAUAUGGCCGUAACCAUUAUUAUGUAAAGAUUGACUGCAAACCAUGUAAUAAGAUUGGCAAUCGUUGCGAAACAUGUAAUGUCAUUCUUUUUGAUAUUUGAAUUCUUCUACAGUGUAUGGGCGAUGUACCAUAUUGCUACUACUUAAGUUAAGUUCUUUCUUUCAGACGUGUUAUAUGAGUAGAUCAAUUUUUGCAUUACUCUUUGAUGCAUAUAUAAGCUUAAGCAAUACACAUUAGUUUCUAAUUCAAAACAGGUUGUUUUUUUUAAUGCAGACUAUUUUCCGCGCCCUAGUGCAGACUCGCCUUAAUACGUUGCCAAAGUUUAGGAACUUAUGAGUGUAAAACCAAAUCGGAUAGUGCAAUAAUGGUUAAUUAUUAUUUGUCAACAUUGAAAAUAAGUUUUAUCCAAAUAUGUUUUUUUUAUUAUUAGAUUGUAUGUACAAACUUGCGAGUUAUAUUGAAGACGUUGUUUUCGGUGUUCUUCAUUACAGCCGACUGUCAGUUACUAAAAAUAGCACAAUACAGUAUAUCUUAUUUAAAUAUAUCAAAUCAGAAUUGUAACGCAAGGGGAAAUAUUUAAUGUAUAUAAUUGUUCGAUGGACCUUUAAAGAAAAUCCUUAAUACGUUUCUAUAUACAUUAUAUUUAAAUACUAAUUCACGAAGUUGAAUAAAUGUUAUAUAGAAUUAAAAUAGUCCAUGAUAAAAAGUAUAGAGAUGACGUUGUCUUUCGUGCAAUAUGUAUUGCGUUAGUUAUAGCUAUAUUGGUUAGCAUUUGUUUAAACAUUAAAUUCUGCAUUAUUCUUUGAACAAAUUUAAUAGAAUUUUCUUUCACACCAUUAUGAUGUAUUUUGCACAGUUAUUACUCGCUUUACGUAUCAGAUCAGACAUGACGUUAACGUAUCC